rnacentral:tRNA from 1 species
GACAGCGUGGCCGAGCUGGUCUAAGGCGCACGGUUCAGGUCCGUGUCCGCAAGGGCGCAGGUUCGAAUCCUGCCGCUGUCA